ensembl:lncRNA
CAAGCCAUGAUGACAUUUUAUUUCACAUGACAUUGCGUUUACGUUGGCUCUCGUGUUGAGCUUUUUCAUCCGCGACUCAUUUGGCGAGAAGGGUAUAACUGCAGCCUGGUGAUCUCCAACUGGGGGCGGGAACUCCAAAACGGGCUGGGAGCUCCAAAAUAGCUUCCUCCCAUUGACAGAUAGGCACAUGACACACAUGCGCAUUUUUCCCCCAAUCCUCUUCAGUGCAAACUCCACCCCACAGCUGAUUCUAAAGAUUUUAUUGGUUGUGUCGAUUAAAGUGUUGAUUUCCUAUACUUCAAAAAAAUGCUAACCCCUAAACCUACCCCACACCUGACCCUAACCUUAACCACACAGUAAAAAACGUUGGUUGUUUUUUUUAACCCAACCGUUGGGUUACACAUAUUGGGUCAAUCUGUUGGGUUAUCUUAAAAUUUGUUGGGUCAUUUAUUUUCUGCGUUGGGUUAUUUUUAGUUAUAACCCAACUGUUGGGUUAAAUAUGUUUCCCGCUUCACUCCGGUUCAAAUUUUAACGGUCCAGUCAGCGACUCAGUGGACAUCAGCGGCAGCCUGCCUGAUUAUGAAAGAUAAAUGGAUUUCUUUGUAAAGGAAAGAUUACAACAGUGGAACCUCUGCAAUUUAAUAGAAACAUUUCAAGAGCUUCAGUGUUUACAGUACUGGCCAAUGCAUGCGUGUGAUGCUGACGGAGGAGCCGUUCAAUAAUGAGUCAGCGUUUGGAUGUUGGUACUAAUAUGGUGCACUACCUCAAUAAUGAGACAAGCCAGGAUCCACAUGUCUUGGUGCUUGGAGACAAAGAAAAUUCCUCCCAAGUUUUUAUCAUUUUCAUUGGAGAGGCAGUUGAAAAGGAGACCUUACUUCAAGCAGUGAACGUAUGCUUCAAAAUGUUCUACAUCUAUGACAUAAACUACCCAAAGCCCUCUCCUCCAAUUUGGGAGUUCUUGCAGCAUGCAGUCUAUAAUAUUCCUGGAGGAGUUCCUUUUGCACAUUGCUGCCUCCUAAAAAACUUUGUAUUCAAAGUUACUGAUCAUCAGUAGAUCCAGUAGCCAAAACACAAAUUAAAGGGUUAGUUCACACAAAAAUGAAAAUUCUGUCAUUAAUUACUCACCCUCAUGUUGUUCCAAACCCAAGACCUCCGUUCAUCUUUGGAACACAAAUUAAGAUAUUUUUGCAUUCUGACAGCUCUCUGACCCUCCCAUAGACAGCAAGGGUCCUUACACCAUCAAUGUCCAGAAACUUAGCAAGGAGAUUGGUAAAAUAAUCCAUGUGACAUCAGGGGUUCAACCGUAACAGCAUACGCUGUUGAGUGGAUACUGUCCAAAAUGGCACUAGGGUGACACGGAGGAGACGAAUUGUUGAAUAAAGUCAUAAUUUUUUUGCUUUUGCCCA